AGGUUCAGACAGCCUAUUACGAGACUUCUGCUUGUAAUUUCUGUGAGUCAUUUCUCCUAGGACUCCGGAAUUCAUUCCUGAUUCUGUCAAGCCAUCCUCAAUCUGUAUAAUUGGUCCCUCUGUGGUUGCAGAGACGAAGAAACAGAACUGCCAUUCACAAUUGCUGCAAAAAGAAUAAAAUACCUUGGUAUACAACUCACAAGGAACAUAAGGGACCUCUUCAAGGAGAACUACAAACCACUGCUCAACGAAAUCAGAGAGGACACAAACAGAAGUUUAUAAAAUUUAAUGUAAUCAAUGUUAUAUAACAAAUAUUGGUGGAGCCGGCCUCCAAUUCUAUGUGAUUUGUUUUCAUAGCCUGUGGUAUUAAUCCCUCUCCCAUUGUGACAGUUAAUUUUAGGGAUCAGCUUCAUGUCACUAAAGGAUACCCAGAUAGCUGGUAAAACAUUAUGUUUGGUUAUAUCUAGAAGGCUAUUUCUGAAAGAAAUUGGCAUUUGAGUCAGUGGGCUGAAAAAGACCCACCCUCACCCAAUCAACUGAGGGCCGAAACAGAACAGAAAGUCAGAGAAAAGGUAAAAUUUCUCUCUUUUGGAGCUUGAAAAUAUAUUUUCUCUGUUUUCAACAUCAGAUAUCCAGGUUCUCUGGCCUUCAUACUUCAAGACUUGCAUGGCUGUCCUCACCCUCUGUGGCCCUCCAUCUCGGGUAUGAGCCACACUACUGGCUUCCCUGAUUUACCGGCUUACAAAGGAUGUAUCAGGGAAGUUUUCAUAAUGACAUGAACCAAUUUCCAUAAUAAAUCUCUCUCUCUCUCUCUUUCUGUUUCUCUCUUUCUGUCUCUCUCUCUCUCUCUCCAUCCUACUGGUUCUGUUUCCCGAGUGAAACCUAAUACAUCCAUGUGUUAUCUGACAACAAUAGUAAAAAUAAUAACAAAUUUCACUCUUAUUAAUCAUUUUUAAGACAUUAAUUUAAAAUGCCCUAACCACACAAUUUUAAGCUCUAAUUUCAUAAUAAUCUCUGUUUUUAUUCGUGCCUAGAAUUAUGUUAAGAAAUUAUAUAUGAAGUUGAAAAAGUAACAGCUCCCAGUUUAGACAAUAUGAAGAAUUUUGUCUACUUGUAUUAUGUGCCUUUUCAUAACCCAAGUUAAAUAUUUAGAAUCAGAUUAUAUGUUGCAGAGAGAGAGAGAGAGAGAGAAGGAAAAAAAUCUCAUCUAGUGGUAUAAACAUCAUGUAGCAUAAAUGACCAGUCAAGAACUAGUAUUGAUGCCAGAGAUAAAUACAUAUUUUUCAAUUGAUUGAAUAUAAGAAUAAAUAAAGUUCAAUGACAAAAGACUAUUAUGAAUAAAAAGUUAGCAAUAGCAAAGUAUGAAAGAGAAAAUGACUUUCUGUGUUCUAAUUAUUAUUUAAACAAAGCACAAUAUUGCAGUGACAUGUUGGACUAAU